GACUGCCAGGGAAGAAGGAGUUAUGCUGUCAGCUCCAGCCAAGGAUCAACUGAUGCCGUGGGAGCUGGAGACACUGCAACCCAAGCAGAUACCAAGCUACCCAUAGAGGCCCUGAAGAGUCUGGAGUUGCCAGAGACUGCAAAGAUGCCUGGAUUACAGAAGUGGGAACUAUGCUGAAAUUCUGUUGUCAUCAAAAGUUCUACAAGAGACACUUCUAGAAGACCUCAGCUAGCCACAAGAAAAAUGCAACAUUCUCAUGAUAGCAACUAGCAAAGUGAUGAUGGAGAAACUGCAACUUGAGCAAACAUAGCCUGCAAAGUUGGCCAAGGGAUGCACCGCAGAAGGACCCAUGAAAAGCAACUUGCAGAGAAGUAUGGGCACCUUCUGAUUUGUCCACACCAGCAUCUCUGAGAAGAACCAACAAAAGAAAUGGAAUAAAAUGGCCUGCAUCCUUCAGCACAUUGCUUCAGUGAAAACUGAGGACACCGAUAAAGGAGAAGACAGGUCCUGGGCCAGCCACCUGGGAGUCCUGGUGAUAUGGACUAUCUUCUCAGAUAGUUAAAGGUGCCUAUCUUUCUAUUUUACAGGAGUUUGUUGCCUGCUAGCACACUGGGAAAAGACUAAUUGUGUCCGUCCUCUGCUCCACCUGCAUUUGUAGUCUCAAUUCCUGAUGUGAACAGGAACAGUUGAAAGCUGAUGGCUGAGCAAAAAUCUGGCAAUAAAUAAACAGACUGACUUUCUCUUA